UACGUAGGCAGCAAGCGUUGUUCGGAGUUACUGGGCGUAAAGGGUGUGUAGGCGGUUCCUUAAGUUUGCUGUGAAAUCUCCCGGCCUAACCGGGAGGGUGCGGUGAAUACUGAGGGACUAGAGUACGGGAGAGGAAAGUGGAAUUCCUGGUGUAGCGGUGAAAUGCGUAGAUAUCAGGAGGAACACCGGUGGUGUAGACGGCUUUCUGGACCGUAACUGACGCUGAGACACGAAAGCGUGGGGAGCAAACAGG
rnacentral:rRNA from 1 species